ensembl:lncRNA
CAUGGAUGAUCUCAUAAAGUUAGAGGGUUACUCACAGGAUUUAAGCUAAGCUCUGAGAGGAUAAUUGAUUACUCACCCCGAAUAUCCAUAUUACUGCCAAUAUCGCGCUCCCCUCCAUCACAGCUUCAGCGCGGAAAUUAAAUUCUAUUUCGGGACAGGAUGUUAUCAAACAGCAAUUAUGUUAUCAGAUGGGGAGUCGAUUAGAUAAUAUAACGAGAGUUCUUUAUAUAAAACAUAAAGUUUGAAACUGGUGUAAUAGGCUAAACUUGUCUCCCUACAGUCUUCUUCCUGAGCGAGUUAGAGAUCACCCAAGUGGAGAUUAGGCCAUCUGUGGUCUGAGAUGUGUGCUUGGUUAGGCUAUCUGUGGUCUGAGAUGGGUGCGUGGUUAGGCUAUCUGUGGUCUGAGAUGGGUGCGUGGUUAGGCUAUCUGUGGUCUGAGAUGGGUGCGUGGUUAGGCUAUCUGUGGUCUGAGAUGGGUGCGUGGUUAGGCUAUCUGUGGUCUGAGAUGGGUGCGUGGUUAGGCUAUCUGUGGUCUGAGGUGUGUGCGUGGUUAGGCUAUCUGUGGUCUGAGAUGGGUGCUUGGCCA